rnacentral:sRNA from 1 species
UAGCCUGUAGUGUAGAGUAGUGCAACGGUACCAAACGCAAGUGCGCGUAACCCACUCAAAUGAUGAAUGGGGUUGGGAGAAUGUAUAACCAACAUGCCAAUUAAUGUAAUGGAGUGAACCAAGAGUGAAAUGAAAAAAAAAAACAAAAGAAAAAAAAAAUGGAAUGUCUGAAUUGGAACUCAAAAUGCCGAAAAAAGAAUAAAGUGAUGGAGAGAAAAAUAACGAAAGAAAAAAAAAUAUGUCUAAAAAAAAUUAAAAUUAAAUUUCGGACGGACAGAAAAUACUAAUGUUCACAAAUUGAAAAUGAACCAAAAUAUCUUCGAUGCCAAUUAAUUAAGUGUACUAUGGUGGAGAUUAAAAAUGAUUUUGUGUCGCGGUGGAAAGAAAAUAAAAAUUAUGUGAAUGCGAUCGAAAAAGGGAAGUUGCAAUAAAAAUCGAAACCAAAACAAAUUGGUUGGUGACUCCGUGAGUGGUGUAAACGAGUUAAAUGACCUGAUUAGUAAAAGUGAAAAGAGAAAGUUACUGCUAAAUAUUAAAAAGUUCAAUGAAAAGAAAAACUUAAAAUGUCAACAAAAAUGAGUGAUUGCGAAUAAAUGCUAAAGUUUACAAAUCGACAUCGGCAACAAAAAAAAAAACAACAAAGUGAAGUGAAAAAUCAAUAAAAAAUGAAAGUUCAAGGACCACAGCCCAAAGAGGACCACCAGGACCACAGUCCAAAGCCCUCAGCCAAGCUGAAGAAUGGCCAUCCAGCAGAGCUAAUCAGAUAAGCGCUGAAUAAGUGUAGCCCACUAAUACUAAAGCCGCUUCAAAUCCUUACACGGCACGUCUAGCUUGCCACGUCGAGAGAGGGAACUUAGGAUGACUCCAACUAAAAGGACAGGCCUCGCCCUCGGAACCCUAUGGACCGUCACACAAGGCGCAGCUGAAUAAACCCGGAAACAGGUGAGUCCGCUUCUCCUCUCUCAUUGUUUAUACACCGUUGGUCGUAUGUCCGUUGGCGCUUUUCUUCGCCUAUUUCGACCUCUAAAUACUUCCGUGCCUCUAAAGUAGAUAUAAAGUAGAUAAAGUAGAUAUAAACUUUGUGUUAAGCUGAGUAUUCUGUUCAGCCUUCCAAGCGGAAUGCUAUAAAAAUCCAUACAAGUAGUACUCUGCUUAUAAAGAAGAAAAUGGCAAAAACUAUUAUAGUGGCCACACUUGAAACUAUUGCCGGCAUCAUUCUUGUGUGUUCUACUAGUUUGAUUGGUUUGUUUUCUUUAUGUAUUUGAUAAUAAAAAAAAUGUUUAUAUAUAGUAGAGAAACCAUAAAUGCAGAUAAAAAAAACGAGCUUUGGAAGCAAAAACAUUUGAUUGCUGUCAAAUUUCGCUCGCGAAUCAAUUAAAAAUUUCAGCGGCUAUUUCUUUAAGCUUGUCCUUAGACCAAAAGAAUUAUCGUUAGAACCGAGCUUUUAGAAUAAGUUUCGCGAUUACGUGCGUGUGUAAGAAAAUAAACAGGUAUGUUUCGAAAACACGGGGGGAAAAUAAAUAAAGGAAUCUCCGGGAAACAAGUAUAUAAAGAAAAAAAAAACGAAGCCAAUAAGUGCUUGGGUUCCUUUCUACGACUGUCGAUUCCGCUUACCUUUAGCACAUAUUCGGGCCACUGCCCUUCGCGGCUAAAGCUUUCCCCAGACCGUUCACUUUUCCAAAAAUAUACGUGGUGCUGACCACCAAUCUGGACAUGUGCACAAGAGCCAUCGUUACCGGAUAC